rnacentral:lncRNA from 1 species
GUUGGUAUCAUGUUAUCAAAUUUUCUACUUAUCCCUCAUGUUCUCAUGUGUUUCUUUUCUUACAUUUAUAUUUUUUAUUGGAAUUUAGUGGUUACUCAUUAAGUAAAUUAUGAGUUUAAAAACUCAGUGGUUCCUGCUAUAUAUUUGUUUAUGUGUAGGCUCAGUUAGGUGGGCCAAUAGAAUCUUUUCUAGAUUAUAAUUAUCUCUUAUCUUAAGUUGGUGAAUGCUGUUUUUAUUUUUAUGUAUUUUUAGGAUUUGCAGAGUGAGUUGUCCGUGCAGUUUGAUGACUUGUUCAAGAAGGCCUGGGAAGAGGAUGUUGUUGAAUUUGAAGGAGAUGGUAUGUAUAAUCUGCAAUUGUGGUACAAUUCGUGAUUAUAUCUGUUUAUUAUUUUAGGAUCUUAUGGGUUAACAGCUAUAAAUAAAUUCAUGCUUGGGCUUUUGAAAUCGGGUAGAGAUAAGCAGAGUUAAAAGUGUUGCCUUCGAAUGAGCUCUGGUUGACUUGGCUCUAUUAGGUUGUGAUUGCUUGAAGUUUGUUCUCAACUAAAAUUGCAACUAAAUUGUCAAGUUAGUUCAGUAAAUUCAAGUAGAUAGAGUAUAUUUAUCCAGAACUGUGAUACAUUCCAUGAUUAUGCAUGGACACUGGAUUGCAGCUUCUAAUGCCUGCAGGGUUGAUGAACCAUGCAUCUGUAAUAAGUCUUGUGGUGAAUACUUAGCGCUUUUCCCUUGUGGUGAAUACUUAGCUCCUUUCCUCCCUUCUCAAGCAUUCACCAUCAAAAAUAGAUUUGCAUAUUAACUGGGAUUAUGUUUGAUGAUGAAUAAGAGUGAUUGUGUUGUAAAGUUGAAUGUAUAAUAAGGAUAAGAAGCAUAUGUUGUUGUUAACUAUUCAAGAGUAACUUUGAACUAAGGACUAAAUUAUGUGAGCAGUCUAUUAAUUCUGGUUGCGUUCAUUAUUUUUUGGGCUAAUGUGGAUGCCAUCCACAAAGGUCAAUUGUCAGGAUCAGAAUCUGUUAAGUCAGAGGAUGAAGCAAAUGAGGUUGAUGUUGCCAGAAAUUCAUGUGAGCCUGAGUUAUCUGUGUUAGAUGAGAUUUUGUCAGUUGAGGCAAAUUCAAGAUUCAAUGAAACUGAUGAAGAUGGUGAAAAAAACCCAGAGGUAAUUAUUUGUAAAGUAGCAGUUUACAGAAACUCUCUUAUUUGAACAUGUUUCAUGCUUUGCACUGAACCUUGCUCACUGCUUUAUUUUUAUUUUUUAACUAGUUCACCAUUGGCAGGCUUGGGCAAUUAGUGGAGGUACAGAAUGGAUUGCAGAGAAUUUUUAUGAUCUUAUUCCUGACAAGGCACUUGAUUAUCCUUUUGAAUUGGAUAAAUUCCAGAAGGAGGUAUCGGUCGAUCCAAACCCUCUUCUACAAUGUUUCCAUUAGUAGAUUGAUUUUUAUUUUUAUUUUCUGGGCCAACGUGAGUAGAUUGUUUAGAUCUUUACUCAAUGAUUUGUUCAGAGAGGUAAAACUUUGACAUAUAUUUUGACUUUAAAUUUCUAUGCAUGGCUUUCCUUGGUUUGUAGUUUGGCUCAUGUCCCUUUCACUGAUAUGAUUCAGUAACAAUGAUUGGAAAAGAAUAUCAAUAGUUGAUUUACAAACAUGAACAUUACACUCGCCAUAAAUUUCAAAUGUGGGACGUUGGACAUGUCCCAAGACAUUGGUUGCUUCGACUGCACAAUGAUGUCAGCAUGGUUAAGUGUGCUGUACAUUAUUGUAAUGUAGAGAACAGGACUAUAUAUGUGCAUGUUGUUGGGUGGGUUAUAUCGUUAGUGCUCUUGAGAAGUUUAAAAAUUUAACAGUUGUGUAGAUUCUCAGAUACAUUAUCCUCAUUUUCACCAUUAGCACCAGAGAGGGUUGCCUUAACAUCUUUAUCUCUUCUUUACAGCAUCUAGAUAUCAUGAUAACUGUCAUUAGAAUUUUCAUGUCACAGUAAAUUGUGGGAUUUCGUCAAGAACAAAAAAUUACAUGUAGAAAUCCUUCAUGAGCAAAUAGUGUUGCUACUUUUCUUUCACUGUUGUAGUGUACAAAGUUUUUUAUAUUUAUUAUCUUAAAGAGUGGCUUUGAAAAUUCUGUUUUUUUAUGCCCAAAUAACCUUUCCUUUGUGAUAUGUUUACAGGCUAUUUAUUAUCUUGAAAAGGGGGACUCUGUCUUUGUUGCUGCUCACACAUCAGCUGGAAAGACAGUUGUUGCAGAAUAUGCAUUUGCUUUAGCAUCAAAAGUACAGCCUAAAUUCUUAAGCUUGUGGUUCGUUUUACUCAUUUAUAUUUGAUUAUUUGUUAAUUAAACCCCUUAUGUUAAUGUUGGGCAGCAUUGCACCAGAGCUGUGUAUACUGCUCCUAUUAAAACCAUCAGCAAUCAAAAGUACAGAGAUUUCUGUGGAAAAUUUGAUGUUGGACUUCUCACUGGUGAUGUUAGCUUAAGGCCAGAGGCAUCUUGUCUCAUUAUGACCACAGAAAUCUUAAGGUCAAUGCUUUAUCGCGGUGCAGACAUAAUACGUGAUAUUGAAUGGGUAAAGGGGCUCGUUUUCUGUGAUAAUCUUUUGAACAGUAAUUUUCCUCCUUUUAUAGGUUAAUUUCUUCAUUGUAUUUAUUUUUCCCAGUUUCCAUUUUUUUUUCCUCAGUAAAUUACUAAAAUAUUUUUGUUACUUGUUCUGCAUGUGAGAGAAUAUAGGUUAUCUUUGAUGAGGUGCACUAUGUCAAUGAUGUCGAAAGAGGUGUUGUUUGGGAAGAAGUUAUUAUAAUGCUUCCAAGACACAUCAAUAUUGUCCUCCUUUCAGCUACGGUAUUUCCUUUUUCCUGAUAUUAUUCACAAUCUCGAUCUGAAACAAAUAAUGCAAAUAUGAAUUAUGAUUAUUUAUCUGUUCUAUCCAAAGUAUAUAGAUUUAAAUUUGUUGAUUACUCUAGUGUUUUCUUUGACUAAGUUAUAGAUUAGGUCUUUUAGGAAAUAGAACAAAGAGUUUCGACCAAAUAAUCUGAGUGAUGAUUCCAGCUGCAAGAUUGGUAUUUUUGUGUCAGAAGUUGCUAAGCAACCUGUAUUUUCCAUGCAAGUAUAAAAGCACUGUCCAUUAUCUUUGUUGUUUUCUGACGUUAUAUUGCCCGGGCUAUGGAAUUUGUAUGUCAUUGUAUCUAGUACCUACCUAUUAUCGAAACUUUGGUAGCAGGUGGAAUAGCUAGUUUACCUUGCCUUGGGACCUGCUCCGUUGUCUAUAUCUUUUAAAAGCCUUCCUUGAAAACAAUGGCAUAACUGUUCUAUUACUUCUCAGCUUCUGUAAAGAUACUUGUGCAUUCGAUAUGUGGGCAGUUGGUCUUUGUUUUCCCCUGCCCCUUCAUUUUAAUUUUUGUUUGCAGCAGCAGAUGCAUUGCAUUACGUGUUAAUUGUAAAUUUGUAGGUACCAAACAAAGUGGAGUUCGCAGACUGGAUUGGACGGACAAAGCAAAAGAAAAUCCGUGUUACUGGGUAAGCAUGAAUCUGUGUGGCAUAUGGAUUUAACUAUUUUUGUUCUUUUGUGUCAAUUCAAAUCAAUUAAAACUAUCUUGAUUUGUUUUUAUCACUGCUUACUAUUCAUUCUUCUAAGAAUGUGGCAGAAAGGGGGUUUGUAAUGCUUUAUUGUCAACUUUUUUACAUCAUUUUCAUAUUUGAGGUUAUAAUUUUGAUAACAGGACUACAAAAAGACCAGUCCCAUUGGAGCACUGCCUAUUUUACUCCGGAGAACUUUACAAAAUAUGUGAAAGUGAAAGCUUUAUUCCCCAGGGGUUCAAAGCUGCAAAAGAUGCAUUCAAGAAAAAGAAUAUGAGUGCUGCCACUGGUGGUAGUGGAUCACAUGCUCCAGCUCCAGCUUCUCAUGAUGGGGCUCGAACUCAAAAACAAAGUUCUAACUGGGGAAAACAAAAGAAGCAAUCUGGUCCCCAAAAUUCGGGGAAUUUCUCCAAAGCUGGUGGAUCAAAUCAAAACAAUGGAAAUGGCAUGAACAAUUGGGGUUUAAGGAGAUCAGAUGCCUCUUUGUGGUUGUCACUUAUUAACAAGCUCUCGAAGAAGUCUCUGUUACCUGUAUGUUUGAAUAUAAUUCCUUAUUGUGCAUGUCUCUUGCUUUAAAUUUAUUUGGUUCUAGUACUUUAUGGAAAUAAUACAACUCCCUACGACAAUUAAUUGUGCAGUGUUUUUUUUUUAAAUUUUAUGAAAUAAAAUAGAAAUGAAAAGGGAAAAAAUAUUAAAUUUUAGAUUGUCUACCAAAAUUAAGAAAUAAAUUUAGACAAAUAAGAGGAAGGCAACUCCAAAUGUGUUUUCUUGGUGGUUGUCAUAUUUAACAGGGAAAAUAACCAUGUCUCCUCCAUGUUUUGAGUUCAAGUAUCUAUGGAACUGUUGUUAAUUAUCCGUGCAAAGAGUAAAAGUUCGGCUCAUAUUUCGGAACCAGAGAGUUGUUGCUUUAUCUUGUAAAUGCCUGUGUUAAUAUUACAUUCUCUUGUAAUAAUUCUGUAAUCUUGAUCUCAAUUCCUUGACUUGUCUGCCUAGGUGGUUAUAUUUUGUUUCUCAAAGAAUCGCUGUGAUAAGUCAGCUGAUAGUAUGUAUGGGAUUGACCUCACAAGUAGUUCUGAGAAAAGUGAGAUUCGUGUGUUCUGUGAUAAAGCAUUUUCGCGGCUAAAGGGAUCUGACAGGACUUUACCACAGGUUUGUUACAUGCUAAUUAUUUCUUUUUAAUUAACAAAAUAACUUUGGGCCUUGGACAUAAUAUGAUUUGAUGUACAGGUUGUCAGAGUUCAAAACCUUCUUCAUAGAGGGAUUGGUGUCCAUCAUGCUGGACUGCUUCCAAUUGUUAAGGAAGUUGUUGAAAUGCUUUUUUGUCGUGGUGUAAUCAAGGUAUUUUACUUCUGGGUUAUUUCUGUGUCAUGACAUUCAUAUUUUGUUUUUCAAAAUGAUACUCCAGUUACCGUUGAUGAUCUUUAGAUGUUAACAGUGACGUUGCAAAUAGUUUGCAUAUUUGUGUUAAUAAUCAUUAGAGUUAAAUUUUCUCUGUUAUUUUCACAUGUCAUUGAGUUCUAAUGGUCAUUUUAGAAUUUAGAUCUAAUAACUUUUUUGGUGACCAUAUCUGUUAUUUUGUAGGUUUUGUUCUCAACAGAGACAUUUGCAAUGGGAGUCAAUGCACCAGCUAGAACGGUCAGUUUUGUUGGGCAGUUUUUCCAAAAUUGAAGUAUAAUUUCUGCUACAAUAUCAAGAAUUUGGUGGUUUUCUUUAUUUGGUACAUAUUUCAGAAUUCUUUUGUUGCAUUAGUUUUCUACUGUUAAAUUUUCAAUUGAUUAACAUCGACCAGUCUUGCAAAACUAUAAAAAGAAAAAAGUCAAACUAAAUAGUUCUGAUGGUACAAGUGUCUGCAAAUUUGUUGAUUGAAUAAUUUAUUUCCUUAAUUUGAAGCUGCAUGUGUUAGAGCUUCUAUUUUGACAUCUUAUAAUGCAGUCACGUGGAAGAGCUCCUUUAGUUUGAUUCUGCCGUUGAAUUGAUUUGGUUGAUGGUUUUGACUUCAAACUUGAGUUUUAUGUUUCAUUACUUCACUAGAAUGAGAAAUGGCAUGGCCUAUGACCCCUAAACAUAUUAUAAAUUUCUGCAAAUUCACUUCACAUCCUGUACUAGUUGUGCUUUGUUUGUAUUGAUGAAAUUCAGUAUUGAAAAAUAUUUCAAAUUUGCCACUAAAAUAUCUUAUAAAUUGACCGAUGUGUUACUGACAGCCGACAAGGCAUCUUCUUGCCUGUUCGCUAUUCUUUAGUUGCAUAUACAACAUUGCUAUCUUAACUUCUAACUUUCGUCAAUAUUUUUUGCAGGUUGUUUUUGAUACGUUAAGGAAAUUUGAUGGCAAGGAAUUUAGACAAUUACUGCCUGGAGAAUACACUCAAAUGGCAGGCCGUGCAGGCCGAAGAGGACUUGAUAAAAUUGGUACAGUUAUUGUAAUGUGCCGUGAUGAAAUUCUAGAAGAAAGUGAUUUAAAGCAUGUCAUAGUUGGAAGUGCAACCAGGCUUGAAUCUCAGUUUCGGCUUACCUAUAUUAUGAUCUUGCAUCUCCUUCGUGUUGAGGAACUGAAGGUGCCUACUUACUUCAUUUCAACUCCGUUCAUAUAAAUAGGGGAAAAGAAAAUAGAUUGCAGAUCAAUAAUUUUCAAAAAUUGAAGUCCGUGUCCAAAUUGUAGGAGCUAAAAAUAAAACCGACAUCUUUAUACAUGUUGAUUUGGAUAAAUACAUACUGUUCAUCCAUAACAUCUUUACUUUUAUGGGAGCUAAACAAAUUUUUUUUUUAUAACCUGUGGUGAAAAUACAAUCCUUUUCGGGGUAAUAUAUUUGAUUGAGGCUCACUAGGAGAAGUAACAAAACCCUUGGCCGUUUCUGAGGCUGCAUUUAUAAUGACCAUCUUGGGUCCAUGGAGUGAUGGAAUGGCUUCUGCAUCUUAACCUCAUUGUCACAGUAUUCUAUCAACAAAGGCUAAUUUUAGUGUAAAAGUAUAUUUGUUUUUCAAAACGAAAAAUUAUAUUGGUUGUUCCUUUUAAUUAAUUCUGUGUUUGUGAAAAAUACAAGUCUACUUUUCAUAUCAUAAGUACAAGUUAAGGUUUUAGCUCUGCAGUUUUAGUGAGUGCAUUGGGACUGUCACUGCAGGUGGAGGACAUGCUGAAAAGAAGUUUUGCUGAAUUCCAUGCUCAGAAGAAACUACCAGAACAGCAGCAACUUCUGAUGCGAAAGCUUGCACAACCUACAAAAACUAUUGAGUAGGUCAAUGGCAGAGUCAUGAUUAUUACUUAUCUGUAUAAUAUGUCAGGACACAUGUUAUAUGUUACAUGAUAUAUUCAAUCCAGUGGUAACCUACUAAAUGUGGCUAUAGCUCUUUGUUAGGCAUGCAGGCUUUAAAACUUUUACUGUUAACCAAGUGCUACAUAAAAAUAGUUGUGUUUGAACCGAUUUUGGCUUAGGCUCAUAUAUCAUUAUCUCAUUAUGAGGAUAUUGCUGCUAUCAGUGCGUAUUCAUCUAACAAUAGCAUUUGUGGCCUUGUAAAUUGUAAUAGCAUAUUAGCUAGCAUUUUUGAACGAUAUAAAAAAAUUGAUUUUUUUUUUCCUUUAAGCAAUUGACGAUGGGCUGUCCUUGUUUAUCAGUUCAGUUGAUGUAUAAGGUCUAUGCAUCUCUAUGAUAAUCAUUAAUUGUCAAAGCAUCAUCUAAGACACUUUAGUAAAUGGAAGUUAUUACUUGUUAGAUGCUGCAAUUCUAUUUUUGAUGUUAUGUUUUGCCUUUCAUCAAAUAUGCUGCAAUUCUAUUUUUGAUGCUGCAUGACUAUUUGCAUGUAGAUGCAUAAAAGGUGAACCAGCUAUUGAGGAGUAUUAUGACAUGUACUCAGAAGCUGAGACAUAUUACACGGAAAUAUUGGAGGCAGUUAUGCAGUCCUCUGCUGCCCAAAAAUUUCUUACAGCUGGGAGAGUGGUAGUCAUGAAAUCACAAUCAGUAAGUCCCUUACAUAGUUUACACAUUAAUUCCAGUCAUAUCCUAAAUUGUUUGUUUAUUUAUUUCCCUGCUUUUUCCUCCCUCAGGAUCAAACUGUAGUAUUACUCUUCUGUUUAUUGUUCUGUGCUAAUAGGAAUGAUUGCUUUCCUGCAUGACUAUGGGUGAUUCUUUUAUUUUACAUGAUAUGUAGAGAUACUCGUAAUAUGCGGGCAUCCGAUGUCUACCCGUUGAAAAAGAAAAAAAGAAUGAUGUCCUCUGAUGGUGGGUUGAUUAUUAAUGUGUUAAGAAAAAAUGAAAUAUUGUAAUUUGAAUAAGACUUGGACUUUAAUAUUUUCUAUUUCUUAGUGAUAAUUUAGCCCCGACUUCAAACAGAUCACCCAAUUUAUUUCCCUUAAACGUCCCAAAGCUGGAGUCUUCAAUGACAACUUCUAUGCAAAAAUCAAGAGACAUGAUCCUACAGCCUGCAUGGAAGAUCAUCAUAAAUUGUAAUCUGAAAAUUAUUCCAUAGCUUGAGCCUAGAGAACAAAUUGGUAACCAAUUUUAAUAAAUAAAUAACUCAGAACUCAUCAUUUUUACAUUGGAAAUGAAAUGAUUGAUAACAGAAAAGGCAAGUUUUAGAAACUUCGAGGGUUAAUCGAGAUAUUUCUCUGUGACAUCUCACUCUCCCUCCCUUCACCCUUGAAACUGAAGUUAAAGGGAGUCCUUGUUCCCCAGUGAUAUGUUUGAUUGGUGCUGAUUUGGUGGUUUCUAGUCCUCACAUAAGCAUGAUAUGUUGGUAUCUGCAUCUACCGUGGUGUCUCUUUCUCAUAUUAAACUGUACAAGUAGACUUCCAUUUUUUCAUUGAUAUUGUAUCUGGUUCUUUGUUAGAGUAGUUGAGGGUAUGCUAAACAUGUAUCAUGCCUUACCAACAGGCCCAGGACCACUUGCUUGGAGUCAUUGUGAAAGCUUCUUCUUCAAGUAAUAAGCAAUACAUUGUUUUAGUGCUGAAACCUGAAUUACAAACUCCCCUGGCUAGUGGUAACUUGCAAGAUAGUAAAAACACCGAUUUUCCACAAGGUUAUUUCAUGGCACCAAAAUCUAAACGUGCUAUUGAAGAAGAUUAUUUUCCUGGCGUCACUUCUCGCAAAGGAUCGGGUGUCAUCAACAUAAAAUUACCACACCAGGGUUCUGCUGCUGGGGUAAGGUUUGAGGUUAGAGAAGUCGAUAACAAGGAUUUUUUAUGCAUAUGCAAUUGCAAGAUAAAGAUUGACCAAGUUCGGCUUCUUGAAGACGUUUCCAGUCAUGCUUACUCCAAGACAGUUCAACAGCUGUUGGGCACAAAAUCCAAUGGAAAUAAGUACCCUCCAGCCUUAGAUCCAAUGGAAGGUACAUCUAUUUGUCAGUCUAAAUAAAACAUAAAAGGUUUUGGGAAAUUAAAGUUCAGUUGUAUCAUUAUAAAUUAUAUUCAUCCUAGAUUAAUAUACGCUUGAUUGCAACUAUAUAGAGUUGUGAUGCAUUCAUUCUGUGGAUGCUUUUAUUAUACCGUUGGAAAUCUGAGCUCCCGACUUUCCACUCCUUGAUUCGAUAUUCGUUUGUCCCAUUUACUUUCUCUUUUCUGUUCGAUUAUUUAUGUUAGGUUCAAGAAUUCUAUUGUUGAUAAAGCAUACUAACUUAAUAACUUCUAUGGGCACUUUACUUGUUAGAAUGUGCUGAAGACUUGGAUCAAUUGAGAAUUAUAGGGUUUAACUCACUCUUUAAGCUGACCUUCAUAGUGGUGACUCUGGUUCAGAUCUGAAGUUGAGAGAUGUGAAUCAGGUGGAAACAUACUACAAGUGGACUAACUUAUUGCAAAAGAUGGCAAAGAAUAAGUGCCAUGGUUGUACAAAGUUGGAGGAGCACAUUAUUUUAGCAAGAGAGAUAAAGAGACACAAAGAGGAAGUUAAUGCUCUAAAGUAUGAAAUGUCAGAUGAGGCACUGCAACAAAUGCCAGAUUUUCAAGGCCGGGUACAUGUCCAUGAUAUGCAUGUGUUUUUCUACGUUUCUGUGGCUUAAUACUUAUGAUUCCUCCUUGUAUUUUAAUUGUAUAUUUUCAGAUAGAUGUUCUGAAGGAAAUUGGAUGUAUAGAUGCCGACCUUGUUGUUCAAAUAAAAGGCCGUGUUGCAUGCGAAAUGAAUUCAGGGGAGGAGUUGAUUUGCACAGAGUGUUUGUUUGAGAACCAACUGGAUGACCUGGAACCAGAAGAAGCUGUGGCGUUAAUGUCUGCCUUUGUGUUUCAGCAGAAGAAUACUUCCGAACCUUCUCUUACUCCAAAACUGUCUCAGGCGAAACAAAGGUUCUCUCCCCAUCUUCUGCAUACAAAUUUUUCUUCUGUGCCAAAUUCCAUAUUUAAAUAUCUUUUUUAAUACAAAAUAUAUGCAUAGGAUUUAGGUAGUAUACUUUAUGCUUACACUUAGAGUCUACAAUCGACCACUAGGUCUGGCCCUAUUAGUCCAUCAGACUAUGUUACCUAGAAUUUUCACUUCUCAGUGUCUCCUGGGUCCCUGGCACAGAUUAAUCAAAUACUUUGCCUGCAUCCACGCAUAUCCAGAAUUGUCAUUAAAAAAAUUUGUUGUGUAUUAUCAUCCUCCUAGUUUAAUUAUACCCUCGGACAAAGUGAGAAAAAUAUUAUAAUAAGAAAUCUGAUUUCCUUGCCAGAAUAAACUCAUUUCGGAUAUUUAUCAUUUCAGAUUGUACAACACAGCAAUAAGACUGGGCGAGCUUCAAGGCCACUUCAAAGUUCAAAUAAAUCCGGAGGAGUAUGCCCGAGAGAAUCUCAAGUUUGGUCUUGUUCAAGUCGUUUAUGAGUGGGCAAAGGUAUUCAUCUUAUAAUUUCAUGAAUUUUUCCUAUGAUUUUUGGAGUGGUUGGUCUUACAUGCCCUUAUAAUUGCAGGGCACUCCAUUUGCAGAUAUUUGUGAACUUACAGAUGUUCCUGAAGGCAUGAUAGUGCGGACCAUUGUCAGACUUGAUGAGACGUGCCGCGAGUUCAAAAAUGCUGCAUCUAUUAUGGGUAAUUCUGCUCUGUACAAGAAAAUGGAAACCGCUUCAAAUGCGAUAAAGCGUGAUAUUGUAUUUGCGGCUAGCUUAUAUGUCACUGGAGUUUAAGUGGCAACUUGAAGUUGAAGGUACACCUUUCCAGUUCAUCCUUGUAAGUACUGAAGGGGGGGAUCUGGAGAAGCAUACACAGCCGUUUAUUUUGUUGUAUAUUAAUUUACGCCCUGUUCCUUAUGCUCAAUUUCAACCAAAGUUCUCAAUUUUUUCACAUUUUUAACAGACGAGGAAGCUAGCACAAACGAGGUUUUUUAACUUUUUUUUUUCCUUCCUCUUUUACUAACUAGGGCACAAAUUGUGAUCCAAAAGAAAAUGUUGUGCUGUUGGGGAUCUUCCUAUCUUCUAUUUUGUCUGAUACUAAGUAUCUAGCUAGUGCCGAACCAAGCUAUUAUCCAGGGUACAAUUUUUCCUUGGUUAAUGAACUCAAGCAAAAGGGAUUUAAACCCAUAAGCUAGUUCUCAACCCGAGGGAGAGGAAAUCCAAUCCAAGAGUACCAUUUCCUUGGUGAAUGUAUUUAUUUAUUUUUAUUUAAUAAUUGUUUAUAAGAUUUGAACUCGUGACAUCUUCCAACAAAAUGAGUGAGACAAUGAAAUAAUUUUCUCUAACUCUUGAUAGAGCAUAGAAGCAAAACAAUGAUUAAGAAUACUUAAUUGGCCCUCUUCAACAGAAGGCAUAACAAUGAUAAUAAAAGUACGGCUCUUGCUACAUUUAGAGCCUCAUUUAAGAGUCACAAUAAUGUGCAGACAAAAUUAACACUCCCUCCUAAUUCUCACUCCUGCCUGGCUUGCCUGAAGGAAGGGGUGCCUGGAACAAGAAAAACAGUCACAUAAUUAAACUAUUUAGAUUAGCAUAAAUGCAAAAUUAAAUUAAAACAAGAGCUGUGGCUAGGGUUAAUUACUGAAUCAGCAGCAUCUGGGAUCCAGUCAUUGGUUGCUGGGUUACACUGGCAAGAGGCAUGGCAGUCAGUGUUGGUAUCAGGUGCCAGGUUGUAAUUUUUGUCACUUUUGUUGGGUACUUUGAUAAACCCUGUUCCUGUUGUGUGGUGCUGCUUGUCAACACAAUUCAGAUCCUUAUAGUAAUCUGUUUCCACAAACUCCUCCCCAACCUCACUUCCAUUCACAACUAUUUUCUGCUUCAAAUCCAUAAAAAAUAGAGAGAGAGAGAGAAACAGCAGACAAAAUUUUAAGCAAGGAACUAGAAAUAAAUACUGAAAAUGAAGCAAAGAUAUCAACAAGGCGUUUGUAGUCCAACGGUUAGGAUAAUUGCCUUCCAAGCAAUAGACCCGGGUUCGACUCCCGGCAGACGCAAAUUUUUUUUUUUUAUUUUUUUUAAAAAAAUUUCUAGAAAACCUACUAAAACACCAGUGAAAAUCAAUUUCUCUUUUUUUAUUUGGUAAAAACAAACAAACAAACAAAUCAAUGAAAACCAACCUCAGUAUCAUUUUCCAGACGUUGGAACUCAACAAGUUCAGGAAUUUCUGACUCUUUAUUAGAGUUAGAGAGAGCAUCGACGUAUUGAGAUGAUGUGUAUUCGCUACGUUGAGGCUUAGUGUGACGUUUGGGAGUGACUCCAUCGAAGAAUUCUCUUGUCUUUGACUCUAUCUCUGCCUCUUCUUCAUUUGACAAAUGAAUGUCACUCCUGUUUGGC